AGGAGCUCGAACAUGGAGAAGGGAAGCGUGGAAGACGAAGACGAUUGGCACUGGGGCCUCCCUGUGGAACGGGGAAUAGGAAAAGGAAGUAUAACCUCCGUAAUGACGCUACCGUCACGACGCCAAAUCAAAGCGUUUCUCUAUGUGCAAGGUGGUCAACGGAGGAAUCUGUUGAUUACGAAGAGUUCGUUGUCUACAAAAUUUAUUUUUGCUGCGGUACUUCUGCAUCGGCCAAACUGUUUGUCAAUGAGCGAUUAAAUGAGAUCGCAACGACGUACGUAAUCAAUUGCAGUCAUCCGGGAACCGUGCUGCGCACUGCGCUAGAUACGGUCACACAACAUUAUUUGACCAGGCUCGAGUGAAAUAAACACAAUACAGCGAGAAAUAAAUGAGGCAUGCAGCAUGUUGUUGUAGCGCUACAUUUGGCGCAUGUAUCAGCACUCCAUCUAUUGCGCAAAGGGACUAGGAAACCUCAUGGAGUUUCAUACAAUUAGUACUAGAGUGAACUCUGGCGCUAGUACCUACAGCAGCUGCAAUGGGGGCAGUUGACCCAGCAUAGGAAUUAUGGGAAGUACAUGGAUUUGCUUAAACAUCAUCCUUCUGGCUUCAAACGGCUUCUUGACUUUGUAAACUUGUCAUGUUCAAGAAUGUUCCCUCUAGAAUAAUGUAGGAAACUC